AUACAAUUUAUUUAUUUGUAGUCUGAGGAUUUGUUUUCAUUAAUUGAAAGUCAUGAAGGACGACCAUUGAAGCUGUAUUUAUACAAUUCAGAAACAGAUGGGUGUAGGGAAGUAACAAUUACACCCAAUACUAACUGGCAAGGAGAGGGAAGUCUUGGCUGUGGAAUUGGUUACGGUUACCUGCAUAGAAUUCCUACACGGCGGUUUCCUGAAGGCCAAGCCCUUGAUUUCUCAGAACAUAUUCACCAGUCUCCUGUCCCGACACAGGUACCACAAAAUACACCUGUUGCAUCACCAGCUGAUGGAUUCUCUGAGGUAUCACUUGCCUCCACUCCAAAUGUAAGCAGUGUGGAAAAAGAUCUGGCUAAUUUGAACCUUACCCCAGCCAGCCCGGCAAAUGCACCUGUCACAACCACAGGCACACCUGUGAAUGUGACAAGCCCAGCAAUAAACCCAGCCUUGCCUACUGGACAACCAACCAUACCUGUUACUGCAGGAUCUCAACCU